CCCACACCCAUGUGUGUAGGACUUCAAAGGAUCAUCUUAAAAUUUAGAACAGAUCUCUAGAAAAGUUAUCACAUGGGUGUGGGACUUGAUUGUUUUAGAUAUUUGUUCCAAAUUUAAUGGUGAUCAUUUGGGGUCCUACACACAUGGGUGUGGG
rnacentral:pre_miRNA from 1 species